UGGCGGGCCAGGAGUCGAACAUGGGUCUUCGCUCAAACUCAGGACCGUAAUGACCGCUAUACCACCGCGCC